rnacentral:misc_RNA from 1 species
UACGAAGGGGGCUAGCGUUGUUCGGAAUCACUGGUCGUAAAGCGCGCGUAGGCGGCCAUGCAAGUCAGGGGUGAAAGCCCGGGGCUCAACCCCGGAAUUGCCUUUGAAACUGCAUGGCUGGAGUCCCGGAGAGGGUGGCGGAAUUCCUAGUGUAGGGGUGAAAUCCGUAGAGACUAGGCGGAACACCGGUGGCGAAGGCGGCCACCUGGACGGGUACUGACGCUGAGGCGCGAAAGCGUGGGGAGCAAACAGG